rnacentral:rRNA from 1 species
ACGGGACGCCUUAGAGGGUGAGAGCCCCGUACGGUUGGACACUAAGCCUUUGUAAAGCUCCUUCGACGAGUCGAGUAGUUUGGGAAUGCUGCUCUAAAUGGGAGGUAAAUUUCUUCUAAAGCUAAAUACCGGCCAGAGACCGAUAGCGCACAAGUAGAGUGAUCGAAAGAUGAAAAGCACUUUGAAAAGAGGGUUAAAUAGCACGUGAAAUUGUUGAAAGGGAAGCGUUUACGACCAGACUUUCUCUAGGUGGAUCAUCCGGUGUUCUCACUGGUGCACUUCGCCUAGUUUAGGCCAGCAUCGGUUUUCGUAGGGGGAUAAAAGCUUGGGGAAAGUAGCUCUCUCGGGAGUGUUAUAGCCCUUUGUAUAAUACCUUUAUGGGGACCGAGGAUCGCGCUCUGCAAGGAUGCUGGCAUAAUGGUCGUCAACGACCCGUCUUGAAACACGGACCAAGGAGUCGAACAUUUGUGCGAGUGUUUGGGUGUUAAACCCUCACGCGUAAUGAAAGUGAACGGAGGUGAGAGCCUUUACGGGUGCAUCAUCGACCGAUCCUGAUGUCUUCGGAUGGAUUUGAGUAAGAGCAUAACUGUUCGGACCCGAAAGAUGGUGAACUAUGCGUGGAUAGGGUGAAGCCAGAGGAAACUCUGGUGGAGGCUCGCAGCGGUUCUGACGUGCAAAUCGAUCGUCAAAUCUGCGCAUGGGGGCGAAAGACUAAUCGAACCAU